UCCGUAGGUGAACCUGCGGAAGGAUCAUUACAGAAAGUAAACGCGGAUCAAACCGCGAACUUCUAAACCUUUGACGAUUGACUCAUGUUGCCUCGGCGGGUUCUCCCGCCGGAGGAUACAUCGAAACUCCUGUUUUAACGGUGUUGUCUGAGCUACAAGCAACGAAUCAAAACUUUCAACAACGGAUCUCUUGGUUCUGGCAUCGAUGAAGAACGCAGCGAAAUGCGAUAAGUAGUGUGAAUUGCAGAAUUCAGUGAAUCAUCGAAUCUUUGAACGCACAUUGCGCCCCUUGGUAUCCCGAGGGGCAUGCCUGUUCGAGCGUCAUUUCACCACUCAAGCCUGGCUUGGUGUUGGGCGACGUCCUCUUUGGGGACGCGCCUCGAAACGCUCGGCGGCGUGGCACCGGCUUUAAGCGUAGCAGAAUCUUUCGCUUUGGAAGUCGGGGCCCCGUCUGCCGGAAGACCUGCUCGCAAGGUUGACCUCGGAUCAGGCAGGGAUACCCGCUGAAGUUAAGCAUAUCAAUAAGCGGAGGA
rnacentral:rRNA from 1 species